UCGUUCUUUAUUAGUUCUACAGUCGUGAGAAACAGUGAACUUUAUAAUCGUUGAAAUAAUGUUGAGGAGCAAAUAAUGCGACCACUAGUCUAAACGGGUUUUACCUAAUUAAGGUAAAUCGACUUGGGAAAAAGACGAGAAACACUACAGAACAUCGAUUCAACUUUAAGUCGUUCCAAAUACGAGUUUCAUCGACUACGUAGCUGCCUGUGUACAGGCCAGGAAUCCUUGUACCUGUGCGACGAGUUCCACCUUAAAUCGUUGAAAAAUGGUGAAGGCGCCACACGAAUAGAGAUAGAAAAAGAGAAGAAAAGGAGAAUAAAAGGAGCCGACAUGCGAAGAUGUCUCUCGAAGGGUUUACGAUUUGUCGUCGGGGUGUGGUGCGGCUCAUCACGGGACUAAAACGGCUCCGUUCUCACGGGCGGACGCCGUACGCUCUUUUCCAGUUCCUCUUUUUACGGUACAUUCGACGUGUACAAAAGCUACCAUGCAUACGUGUAUCUACAUAAGCAUAUAAAUUAUCCAUUUUCCACAGAAGAGCGGUUGAAUUUUUUAAUCGAAACUGGAAAACAUUCGCUAGAUAAAUUGCAAGCUGUUUUCCAGAGUAAAAUUGAAUUGAAGUCGUUAUCAAUUAUAAUUAUCCUUCAAUUUCUAUACGCAAAAAAAUGAGCAAGUGAAUAUUCUGUAACAGUACUUUGCUAACGACUCCUUUCCUUUGCCUACAGUUAUAUUUCUUAAAUUGUACGAAGAGUCGUUUAAGAUUGAUAACAGUACAUUUCCAAUGGUUUUGUAUUAUUUAUUGAAAUUAAUGAGACAAGUUCGAGCAUAGCUGCAGGCAUAUGAAUGCUCAUCUGGGAUAGCAUUCCUAACGGUAUUCAAAUUGACGCGACUCUAUAAAAUUAAUAGUUAUAGUUACGCGUGAUGAUAAACGAAAAAUAAAGUCAGGAAUGAUAAUAAUAAAUGAAAUCAUUUUAAAGAUGAGCCAUAUUUUUAAUGGAGAAUUAAUCGAUAUCUGCUAUACGAGCAAUAAACUCGAAUUUAAUAAUAAAUCUUAAUCCUUCUCUAGUUUCGUGGCCCGUCGAUGGCACUUAAUAUCUGAUCUAUAGGAAAACCGUGUAUCGCGCCCACUUUAAAAAGCAAAAGCGCGGAACGGUACUCGUCAAAUUGUUCGAUACCAUCUACGGGUUUAUUAUUUUGCUCAGCGAACCGCGAACAAUGCGCGUCAAUCUCGCGUCAAUAAGCAGAGGUCGACCACGAAAGAGUAAUUGCCCCUAUUUUUUUUUUUUUUCAAUACCUGCGUGUGUACACGGAUUGAUUAAGCUUUAAACACGGCCUGGGUGCGAGCCGACAACCGAAUAAAAGAGUGAAUUAUUAACUCGCGAAACGAUACAUAAACAAUAAUUAUACAUGUCACAUAAUUAAAAUGAAAAGCAGAUGAAAAUUAUUUACAUUCUUUCCUUUUAGAACGAAUAAAGAUUUCCUUCGACGUGGCAAGCAUCGUGUCUUUCUAUGCGAAGAAAACUACGUGAUCCUGUGUGAUGUGCGGCACUUGACGCAGGGAAGUGCAUAAAACCGGAAGCUGCAUCAGCGACCCUUCGGCCCCGAUUCGACGAGUGGUUACAGUCGUGUGAAGUGGGUUAGAAUACGACGGUCCAGAGAGAGCAAUUCGUUCAUUCAACCUCCCUAAGUGUGUAAAUACAUUCCCUUCAUAAUUAAUUAUAACAAAGAAAACCAUGCCUCUCCAAUUUCAGUCGUUUAUUCUUACUAUUGAUCUAAUUCAUACUUGAAUCAACCUCUCCCGAAUAAAUUUCAUAUAUUUUAGGCAAUUUGUAUGUAUUUUAUAAACGCAUAUAUAAAUCAGUAUAGGAUUUCAUCCAGAAAGGAUGAGGAUCCACCGAUAGCAUAAAGUUUCCUCUUAAAUCCCGUGUUAAAGAUUAAACAGCUACUUCCGAGUUAAGAUUAUUCGAGAGAAUCUAGAUGAAUAAAUGAACGCCUUUAAACCACUCUACCGCAAACUGCGGUAUCGGUCUGGGUUCACCUGGAAUACAUAAUAUACGAUUGCGGAUUACGUGUCGAUUAUAACCGGAGAUUAUUAACUAUCCAGAUCUUUCAAGAUAAUUGCACUUUUUGCAGAUUUGAAAUCGGUUUUGCGUCACUGUAUACCGUAGCGUUUUUACAUAUUAUAUUCCGCAAUCUUAUAAUUACGUAUCAAGUCCUCUCGCAAUAUCUUGACAGAACCUCAUUCGACACCUCUUCCAUAUUCAUUGCAACUUUCGGAUCCUGGAUAAUGUCACCGACAAUUAUGUAGUUAUGCUUAUCAUUUUCAUGAUGCAUUCUUAUCUAGCUUUUAUCGCGACGUUUACAGCCUAAUGUAGUAUGCAAACACUCGAUCUUUCUUCCAAACGAUCCAGGGAUUAUCAUAGUCUACGCCAUAAAUGUUCUAAGAUCAGAGUCAUAAUGUUUUUCAGGAAAUUUCAUCAACUAUCGGUGUAACAUAUUUUUUAAUAACUAUAGUUAUCAUUAAAAUUUCAUUUCGUAGCUCGCUGGUCGAUGUUGAAUUAAUUGUUAACAUUCUUACGAUGUACUAAUAUAAUCAUAUUGGAACGCGAGCAGCAUGAGAAUGAGAGUCUAAAUUAUCAGACCCGACUUAUAUUCAUUCCAUUCGAUUGAAUCGAAAUUGAACGGAAUUAAAAUAACCGUCACGUACCAAUAGACAAGGAUACAUUCAUCAGGCGAACUUCCUUAAAUAAUAAUCUUCGAUUGUUUCCUAUCAUCAAAUUACAACUAAAAAAAUUGCUAAGGCAUUAGAAGAAAUGACUUGUCAGCUAUUAAAAAUAUCAGAAAUUAAUUGUUUCCCGUCAUUAAUAAAUUGGCUUUAAUUAUAUGACUAGAUAUAAACGUUAUAUGCAGGCUGCAAGUGAAUGAGACAAAUUCCUUUAUGAUUCUAAAUCAUUUAUCGAGCCAACGAUUGGUAAAAAGAUGUCUAUCGGUCUCACGACAAUUGAAACGGGUUUUUACAAGAAGUCCUCAAGUGCCAUUUGAUGUAAUAACAUUAAGUGUCGUUUAAUGUAACGACCCUGGAGAACUACUAAAUAAAACUUCGUAAUUAGAGUAAAGCGGCUGUAAUCAA